rnacentral:tRNA from 1 species
GCGGCCGUUGUCUAGGGGUUAGGAUGCAGCCCUUCCAAGGCUGGGGCCCGGGUUCAAAUCCCGGCGGCCGCACCA